rnacentral:lncRNA from 1 species
GGUAGGCAGCAGCAGAAGAAAGGUAUACAGCCUCUUGCUUUAUAUCCCCUUGAAAAUAUCAAAGUGCAAGCAAAAAACACAAAGAGAGGAAACUACAGAAGCCACACGAUAGGAAGAAGCACCACGACUUCGAGCCAGAAAGUUGGGUGUUCAAGUCUUUGUUAUUACUUAUUAUUUACCAGAUGUCAUCCCACUGUUCCUGGGUCAGUGUGAUAAUGGGAGUGAUGGGGAAAGGCAAGGUGUGUUUGGGGACCUUCCCACCCACUGGAAACCGGAGGAGUAGAGAGGUAAGCAUUCUCGUCUGGUAGUAGCUUGUGGCACCCUUUCCUCUGACUAGAAAGGCAGCAGAUGGUUAGGCUGAAGCAUAUGACAUUGCCGCUUUUGUUGGUUCAAAAUAGUUGAAUAACCUCUGAUUCCAGCAAUGAGAUUUCCCUCUGGGAACGUGCUACAGUCUUUUUA